UACGUAGGGUGCAAGCGUUAAUCGGAAUUACUGGGCGUAAAGCGUGCGCAGGCGGCUAUGCAAGACAGAUGUGAAAUCCCCGGGCUCAACCUGGGAACUGCAUUUGUGACUGCAUGGCUAGAGUACGGUAGAGGGGGAUGGAAUUCCGCGUGUAGCAGUGAAAUGCGUAGAGAUGUGGAGGAAUACCGAUGGCGAAGGCAGCCCCCUGGGCCAAUACUGACGCUCAUGCACGAAAGCGUGGGGAGCAAACAGG
rnacentral:rRNA from 1 species